rnacentral:lncRNA from 1 species
GUGAGACAGGAGAGAGGAAGGGACUGCCAUUUCGGAAAAUAUCCACAUCAGGCAGCAGGUGAGCGAGUGUCGGAGAAUGUGGUGUUGAGGCUUGUGGAACCUUAUGUUGGCAAGGGGAGAAAUGUCACCAUGGACAAUUUCUUCAUUUCACUGUCUUUGGCGAACAUGUUGCUUGCAAAUAAAACAAGCCUAGUCAGCACCAUGAACAAAGCGAGACGGGAGCUCCCUCUGCGCAAAAUAAGGCACCUGCACAGCCGUUGUACUCCCCAACUGGGCUGAAGAAUGACAAGACUAUACCAAAGCAAAGCAAGAAAGAACGUUUCUGUCAUGAGCACCAUGCAUCCAACAGUUGCCAUCGACCAGACACAAUAAAGAGAAAACCGGAUACUAUUUCGCACUACAACCAAACAAAGGUUGGUGUGGAUGUUUUGGAUCAGAUGGGACCGCUGUACACUGUGAAAGGAGGCACCCGCCACAGGCCUGUUUCUGUGUUCUACAGUUGUUCUACAACAUGCUUGACUUGGAGUUGCUAUCAAUGCACAGGUGUUGUUCUAACAGUGAAUGAACAACACCAUGCCCAGGAGAGACUCCAUCAUGAGUAUAGCAUACGGGCUACGUGAGAGACAUAUGAGGGCCAAGGCAGCAGCAAAGAUUCCACGUGAGCCAAAUUGCGCACAGUUUCUAGGGAGGAGACAGUGCCAGGUGGCCAGAUGCACUAAGAACAGAACCUGUGUCACCUGCAAGCUACGUGUUUAUGAGUAGCUUUAUGCGGCGAAGAUUUAUGUCGACUGUUAGGACAAGGGAUAACAGCUAAAUUAAUUCCAACUGAUGCCAUUGCGCAGGCCAUGUGAGCAUGAUCUGAUAAUAAUUUACUAUUUUUUAUUGCUGUCAUAUCGACACUUAUAUUCAUUGUAAUGCCCUUAUUGUUUUUGUGCAGAUUUUCACUAUUUAUCAAGCAACCUUGGCACUUAUAAUGAUGUUUAGGCUACUGUUUUGUCACGGAUACUCCCUCUCCGGCCUCUAGGUCAUCAGGCUGCUGAUUAUCCCGCACAUCCGUCACCAUCGUCAAGCGCACCAGCGCCUCAUGACACUCACCUGGACUCCAUCACCUCCUUGAUUAUCUUCCCUGUAUCUGUCACUCCCCAGGGAUCUUACCUCAGUGCUGCAGCUGCUGCGUCUCCCGAGCAUGGAGAAUGGGAUGAGAGGGGAACUGCUCCACUGAUAAGGAUGAAGGGCAAAUAUUGAAACCUCACUGUUUGUUUUCCUGUCGUCGCCUUCUCUUCUUCUCCUCCUUAUUUACCCAAC